UCGAGCCAUUGCUUUCUUUCUAAGUUAGCAUUUUGCAAUACCCUUCCAUGACUGAGAGGAAACUCCAAAGAUGAUAAUUGCCAAGCUUUAAUCAUUCUUGACCCACCAUUAAUGGACUCUUGACACUGACACGGAUGCCACCCGACUCUAUUGAUCUAAUCCUUUUCAUGUGUCAACAAACGCAUGAGAUGAAGUUGUUGGCAACUUUAAUGCGGUGUUCUGACCCCGUCCUUCCUAUAUUUGAUGUGUCGGUAUAGAAAUAAGUCGCUCUGAUAAGCUUCUGGAUUAUGGUUUAAGAAUCGCAGGCAGUUGAUGUCCUCUAGGAGGCAAAGUUUUGCAAAUUUGUUGCAAUCUGAAGCAUCCGGACCAGGAAAAACGAGUGGUCUAAAAGAAAUGGAUUCCUCUCCAUUUUGGUCUGAUCGGGUACGAACUAGAAGACGUGGAUAAACAAUUCUCAGAGCCACUGUAAUCCAAGAUCACAUAUACCGGAUUGAGCAAAUACAACAGUUUCCUCUCCAUACGUUUUGACUCACGUAGAUCGCAACAACAGUGCUUCUUAUCAAUCUCAAUCUUUUGAUCAGACACUAGACGAUGAUCAAUACUUAAGGGACCAGUUAUUGUUAUGGAAUAAGGUUGGAGUGGGAUAAUUACCGGUGGUAUAACCUAACGGCAGUAGCAGAAGGGCUUCCAGCACCGGCCACAGGGGACCGGGCCAUAGAACUUCCGGGGCUUGUCCAAGGAUGACAGGUAGUGCACGAUUGCAAGUAUCACGAUCGGAACAGCCAAGAGCCCCCAGUUGAUGUUUAUCUCAGGAGCUUCAAAUAGCGAGUCGAAGGCCAGCAACUUCGAGAGCGCGAUGAAGAUGGCGGUUAUGAGCAAGAAUAGUAAAACCGUGUGCGGCAUGGGACCGGGGCUUGGAGGAGGGUGCUUACAUUUGUAGCAGUAGCAAUAACCCAUGAAGGUUUUCCUUGGUUCUUCCUCGGAGGAGAGAAAAGUCACAGGCUAUAUACAGUGAAGAAUUAAGAAAGACAAUCUGGUCCUUGGGGCUCAAAGAUGUCUCUGUAUUAUGAUAUUUAUAGCAAAGUUAGGAGGCUAAUGGCCUGUCAACAUCCAUUGAAACUGUUCCAUUUCUACAA